rnacentral:lncRNA from 1 species
GCUUUAAUAGUUUUUAUAAAGUAUAUCUGAUGUGAUCCAAUGUUCUAAUAGGUCAUCACAUUGUUUGACUACGAGUUUGACGAUACUAUACUUAAUAGUCAUAUGAUGAUGCAGAAAUGAUGAUAGUGUUAGAUGUGUGUCCUAGAUGCCAGAUCGGCUGACACAUUCCUGUAUAGAUCUAAGGGCAAAUUUGUAAUUUUGACUAUAAAUGAAUAAAAAGGUUAUUCUUCUAUCACAUUGUGUACAUUGUGUCUGUGAUACAUCCUUUGAGUUAGUAGGAAUAUAAAUUCAUAUUUUCAAGAGUUGAAAAUUUAAGGCAUGAAUUUACAUAACUAACUCA